GUCCACGCUGUAAACGAUCAAUACUAGGUGUGCGGGGACUGACCCCCUGCGUGCCGGAGUUAACACAAUAAGUAUUGCACCUGGGGAGUACGAUCGCAAGGUUGAAACUCAAAGGAAUUGACGGGGGCCCGCACAAGCGGUGGAUUAUGUGGUUUAAUUCGAAGCAACGCGAAGAACCUUACCAGGUCUUGACAUCCUGCUAACGAAGUAGAGAUACAUCAGGUGCCCUUCGGGGAAAGCAGAGACAGGUGGUGCAUGGUUGUCGU
rnacentral:rRNA from 1 species